AUGGAGUGGAGCUGGAUCACUCUCUUCCUCAUGUCACCAACUACAGGUGUCCACUCCCAGCUGCAGCAAUCUGUGCCUGAGCUUGUGAGGCCUGGGACCUCAGUGAAAUUGUCCUGCAGGGCAUGUGAUGAUAUUACUAAAUAUUAUAUUCACUGGGUGAAGGAGAGGACUGGACAGGGCCUGGAAUGGAUUGGAGGUAUUGAUCCUGAUGAUGUUGAUGAUACUGACUAUGCUCAGAAGUUCCAGGGCAAGGCCACACUGACUGCAGACACAUUCUCCAACACAGCCUACUUGGAGCUCAGAGGCCUGACUUCUGAAGACUCUGCAAUCGAUUACUGUGCCAAAUAUUGGGGAAGUAAUCAGCUCUUCUUUUAUUGGUUUACUGGCUCUUUGGGAGCCUACUCUGUUUGGAUGCCCACAUGCCUAGACCUGGAUGGUGCUCUGCACCAGGUGUAG